AUGUAUCCAUCUCCUCAUACAGCUGUCAGGAUUCUCAGCGAGGAACUUUGGGAUGGACGUCACCAGGGUCAUAGGAGCAGAUUCUCAGACUGUGGUGACCCAGGAGUCAUCAGUCUCAGUGUCUCCAGUCGGAACAGUCACACUCACUUGUGGCCUCAGCUCUGGUCACUGACUACAAGUAACUACACCAGCUGGUACCAGCAGACCCAAGGCCAGUCUCCUCGCAUGCUUGUCUAUGACACAAGCAGCUGUCCCUCUGAAGUUCCUGAUCACUUCUCUGGAUCCAUUUCUGGGAACAAAGCCGCCCUCACCAUCACAGGAGCCCAGCCUGAGGACGAGGCUGACUACUACUGUGGUAUGCAUGAUGUCAGUGGGAGCAGCUAA